UUUCCGUAGGUGAACCUGGGGAAGGAUCAUUGUAGAGUUCCUUUUCAAAAAGAUGUGAAGUUGUACCAAUACCCAUCGAGAACUAAUCAUUUUUGCUGUCAGCACUUGCGUUGUGUAGAUGGGUUCCCUUUGCUGCCUUCAUCUUUGCUUCAUUUGAAGUGAGAAGUAGAGUAGAAAAUAAAAGACCGGCACGGUUUAUGCUAAGGAUAGUUGUUGUUGGAGUACAUUGCCAUCUUUUUGAUGUCGUUGUGUUACUCUACGAGCAUAUACGUCUGAAUAACUCCUGGCUAUGGAUAUCUUGGCUCUC
rnacentral:misc_RNA from 1 species